rnacentral:miRNA from 1 species
CCCCUUACAAUGUCGAGUAAA